rnacentral:rRNA from 1 species
GACAGAGGAUGCAAGCGUUAUCCGGAAUGAUUGGGCGUAAAGCGUCUGUAGGUGGCUUUUUAAGUCCGCCGUCAAAUCCCAGGGCUUCAACCCUGGACAGGCGGUGGAAACUACCAAGCUGGAGUACGGUAGGGGCAGAGGGAAUUUCCGGUGUAGCGGUGAAAAUGCGUUAGAUAUCGGAAGGAACACCAGUGGCGAAAGCGGACUUCCUGGUCCAGCACCGACGUCAGGCACGAAAGCGUGGGGAGCAAACAG